rnacentral:pre_miRNA from 14 species
GGAUUGGCAAGUGCUCUGUCAAAGCAGUUCCAAAGUGCUCAUAGUGCAGGUAGUUGUAUUGAUGUUCUACUGUAAUAUGGGCACUUACAGUACUGCUAGACAAUAUUCAUCUCCUCGCUU